AAGUCGUAACAAGGUUUCCGUAGGUGAACCUGCGGAAGGAUCAUUAUCAAUAUAAUAAUCCAAAACGUAUGUUAACUAUGUCUUUCGGGAUAUAGUUAGCAUAUAAACCAAUCUGUGAAAUGUUUUGUUUUUUUACUAUAUUUGGAAAGAGGUUUCGGGUCGUUUAUUCGAUUUUGAAUAAUCUUUUCAAUGUAGUAAAAAAUAUCAUCUUAUUAACCAAUUGAACCCUUUGUUAAAUCUUUAAUUUCUAUUGUGUGAACUGAAUUGUUUCUUACUCUUUCUUGUAACAAAGGAUGAGAAGAAAUUAAAUUUUACGAAACAUAAUAAUUUAAAAGAACAACUCUUAGCAACGGAUAUCUUGGUUCUCGUAACGAUGAAGAAUGCAGC
rnacentral:misc_RNA from 1 species